rnacentral:snoRNA from 1 species
AGCUGAUGUUCACCCCGCCGCAGCGAUUCAGUGCUGCGCUGGGUCUUAUUUUGGCUGUGAUUACAGAACCCCCUAGGCAUGGGCGCGGCCUUAUGUGGCCGCAGCUCUGUUCCGGGGGUGCAACAUUC